rnacentral:rRNA from 1 species
CGUGGGUGACCUGCCUUCGAGCGGGGGAUAACGUCCCGAAAGGGACGCUAAUACCGCAUAACAUCCUGCUUUUUAAGAGGUGGAGAUCAAAGCUGGGGAUCGCAAGACCUAGCACUCGAAGAGGGGCCCGCGUCCGAUUAGCUAGUUGGUGAGGUAACGGCUCACCAAGGCAACGAUCGGUAGCCGGCCUGAGAGGGCGGACGGCCACACUGGGACUGAGACACGGCCCAGACUCCUACGGGAGGCAGCAGUGGGGAAUUGUUCGCAAUGGGCGCAAGCCUGACGACGCAACGCCGCGUGGAGGAUGAAGAUCUUCGGGUCGUAAACUCCUUUCGAUCGAGACGAAUUCCCCUGGGGUGAACAGCCUCGGGGGUUGACGGUACCGAGAGAAGAAGCCCCGGCUAACUCCGUGCCAGCAGCCGCGGUAAUACGGGGGGGGCAAGCGUUGUUCGGAAUUACUGGGCGUAAAGGGCUCGUAGGCGGCCAACUAAGUCAGACGUGAAAUCCCUCGGCUUAACCGGGGAACUGCGUCUGAUACUGGAUGGCUUGAGUUUGGGAGAGGGAUGCGGAAUUCCAGGUGUAGCGGUGAAAUGCGUAGAUAUCUGGAGGAACACCGGUGGC